rnacentral:rRNA from 1 species
UACAGAGGGUGCAAGCGUUAAUCGGAAUUACUGGGCGUAAAGCGUGCGUAGUCGGUUAUUUAAGUCGGAUGUGAAAUCCCCGGGCUCAACCUGGGAAUUGCAUUCGAUACCGGAUAGCUAGAGUUCGGCAGAGGGAAGCGGAAUUUCGGGUGUAGCGGUGAAAUGCGUAGAUAUCCGAAGGAACAUCAGUGGCGAAAGCGGCUUCCUGGACCAGAACUGACGAUCAGGCUCGAAAGCGUGGGGAGCAAACAGG